rnacentral:lncRNA from 1 species
CCAGGCUGGUCUCGAACUCCUGACUUCAGGUGAUCCUCCCGCCAAGGCCUCCCAAAAUCCUGGGAUUACGGCCAUCGUGCCGGGCCAGCAGCACAGCGUCUUAAGCAAUUUUGGAUAUGAAUACCUUCGAGACGAGCUUGCGCUCCCACAGACCCCACCACUCCUACAGUCUGUAAUUACCCCCAGCUGCACCCAUAUGCGUAGCUUCCCUGGUCCAGAGGGACGUGCGUGUGUGACCCUGCAGGAUAGUGGGGUGGCCCUGCAUGGCAUGGCUGCCAGUGCUAAGAGGGGUGUGCCGCCAGCCUCUGAUCCCUCUCACCGGCGGGCCCCCCAUCAUCAUCACUAUAUGAUGACCUGAGGCGUCCAGGCUCCCGAGGAAAGCCUGCCGCCCUGGUUCCUACAAGGGACGCCUAAACACAGAGUCCUAAACACAGAGUCCUAAACACAUGCAGGGUUGGAGGGAGACUGACGAACUCAACUACCAGCCUGCAGUCGGCAGCCAUCAGCGGAUUGCAGGUACCCCGCGUGCGUGUCUCGGCUACAGUGCGGAAGACAAGAGGCCUUAGGAAGUGGGAACGGGCGCCAUCUGGUGGUCAUCUCUGGAGUGACAGCAGAGAACUGGAACAUAUUUUAUAUUUUGUUUCCACUGCUCCAUGACUUGACUAAAGCAGAAACAAUUCGGAGAGUACUGUAGUAUUAAAUACCUAAGGGCCACACCAGGCCAGAAAGCAACAAAAAAGAAAUGCUAAAAAGAAGUUCUUCAGAGAGGGAUCCAAGAAGGAAUAAGUGAAGGGCGGUGCUCCAGGUGUGAAUGGAGACGACUUCGAGCUCACUGUGCUGAGAAACUGCUUUUCAGAGGGCUUCUACAGAGCCCACAGCUCAUCUUCUAGAAGUCAUCUAUAGCUACUGUCAGUUUCUAGGCUUCCAAGGACACCCUUCAGCCUACUGCAAUGCAGCUUCUUACCCUACUCCUCCAUGGACAGAUGACAUCCAUUUCUGAAAUCCAGGGGCCACACUUCAAUCUAUCUCAUGAGGUAUCUCUGCUUGGUGGACACCGAUGUUCUCCCUUCCUGAAGACUCUGCUUCUCUGACUUCUGUGAGCAUAGCCUCUUCUGGUCACUCGUUCUCUGGCAUAGACUUCUUCUCUGUGGGCUGGCAGCGAACAGUGGGGCCUUCAGCAUCAUUAUUGCUCAGGUCAGUACAAAGGACCACAUAAGGGAGUAUGAUAGUGAGGAGCCAAGAUCACUCCACAUCUCGAGAAGAGAUGAUAGCAGCCUGGAAUGGUUUGGUGGCCAUGGGAAUAAAGAGAAAGGGACUGAUUUGACAGAUGUUUAAUGGGUAAACAUCACAGGAUUUGGCAAUUGGCUAUGGAAGAUAAAUGGGAGGAAGGAGUCUAGGAUGACUGUUGUGUUUCAUCUUGUUGGGGGGUGACUUGACUAGGCUGAUGACUUUGCUCAAUCCAAUAGGGGAUACAAAAACAGCAAAGACAUGAAAGAGAAGAUGAUGAUAGUGGUAUCCCAGAAAAUGAGAGGGUAACCAACAGCACCAAAAGUCAGGCAAUCAGAUAAACCAGUUUCUAAGCUGAGGAAGGGGAGUGACAAUUCUUUCAAGAAGAUUGUCCACAGAGAGAAACAAUAGGGUAAUAACCAGGAGUGCAGGGUUGAAGGGGCGUUUUUUGGCUGAGGGCAACGGACCAGUAGAGGCUGAGCAGCUGAAAGUACAGGUGCCAAGGGGGUGGCUGAAGGAGUAAGAUCCCAUUGAUGGGAUGAAGUGGGAUCAUAACAGAUGACAGGUUGAACAGAAAGGCUAUCUCCAUGCAUGAGGCAGCAGGAUGCAGAUGUACACACUCCCUUGGAGGCUCACAGUGGGAAGUGAAAGUUCCUGCAUUUUGAACUUUCCUCCCUCUGUGAAUUAGGAGGUGAGGUUAUCUAUUAGGCACGUGGGUGAGUAAGCAGUUGGAACCAAGUGGUGAAUGUUUAUAGAAGAGGGUUCUGACCAAAGACAAAGAUUGCUCAAUGGCACUGAGGUCCAACCGCAGUUGAAUGCCCUAGAUUCAUAACAGCCACAAUCUGUACACUUCUAUCAUUUUUAGUUGUUAUAUUCUACACCCCAAGCAGAUACACACAGGGAUAAACUGAGUCAGGCAAUUCAGGCUUGGAAGCUUGCAAAGCUGGUAGAGUUUGAGGAUGAGGGGUUUAAGGAGCUGAGGGCAUGAAUGAGAAGUCUGAGUUGACCACAGGGCACCAGUUGCAUAAGGUAGAGAAUGGGGUUAAAAAGGGAAAAACAAAAGAAAAAACCGGCUGGGCGUGGUGGCUUACACCUGUAAUCCCAGCAUUUUGAGAG